AAUGAACGCUGGCGGCAGGCCUAACACAUGCAAGUCGAACGGGACCUUCGGGUCUAGUGGCGGACGGGUGAGUAACGCGUGGGAACGUGCCCUUUUCUACGGAAUAGUCUCGGGAAACUGGGAGUAAUACCGUAUAAGCUCGAGAGAGGUAAGAGUUAUCGGGAAAGGAUCGGCCCGCGUUGGAUUAGGUAGUGGGGGGGGUAAUGGCCUGCUAAGCCGACGAUCCAUAGCUGGUUUGAGAGGAUGAUCAGCCACACUGGGACUGAGACACGGCCCAGACUCCUACGGGAGGAAGCAGUGGGGAAUCUUAGACAAUGGGGAAAACCCUAAUCUACACAUGCCGCGUGAUCGAUGAAGGCCUUAGGGUUGUAAAUAUCUUUCAGAUGGGAAGAUAAUGACGGUACCAUCAGAAGAAGCCCCGGCUAACUCCGUGCCAGCAGCCGCCGUAA
rnacentral:rRNA from 1 species